CCCCCGUCUCCCCACCUCACCCGCCUGCCACCAGCCUCCCUCCUCACUUCCCCUCUGCUCCUGCCUGUUGUGUUUGAAUGGACUAAGACACGGUGUAAAUAACUGCCCCAGCUGAAGCUUUCUGCAAAAUGUUUGAUUGUUGACCUGGCUUCUGGACUCUGAAUUCUGCAAGAUGGGUUUAUUUAACAAAUUGUUUUUAACUGUUGAGCUUGUUGAGAGUAUAAGGAUGCUGGAAAACUCUGACGGGGUGCAGAAAAGAGCCACAAAAAUAAUUUGAAGGCUGGAGAAAAUGCUGUACAGUGAGAGACUUAAAGAGAUCAAUCUGUUUAUCUCAUCAGAAAGAAGAUUGAGAGGCAACUUGAUUACAGGUGAAUGCUACUUUGUUACGUGAGCUGUAGCUCAUGAAAGCUUAUGCUCAAAUAAAUUUGUUGGUCUCUAAGGUGCCACAAGUACUCCUUUUCUUUUUGUUACGUGAGUAACUUAACUGGGAGAAAAUACGGGUACUAAAAAGGUCUUGAAUCUAGGGGAGAAAAGCAUAACAAGAACCCAUGGCUGGCUGGAAGAGGAAAUCAGACAAAAUCAAAGUAGAAAUUAGGCACAAUUUUUUAAAAAUGAGGGUGGAACAAACUACCCAGAGCAGUGGGAAGGGGGUUCUCCUUCUCUGGAUGACUUCCAAUCCAGACAGUAGGCCUUUCUUGAAAUUAUGCUUUAGGCAAACACAAGUUACUGGGCUCAGUGCAGGGAUAACUGUGUGGAAUGUAAUGGCCUGUGCUACGCAAGAGGUCAGACUAGAUGAUCUAAUGGUCCUUUCUAGCCUUAAACACUAUGAAUAUAUCUUUCAAUGGCAGUGCAAAUAGAUGGGUAUAAACAUGGCAUUUUAUUCAAGACAUUCCAAGGCAACCAAUGCAAUUUGUGAGCUUACAUUGAACUACAUGUUCAUGCAACACAUUUCAUUAAUCUACUCCGUUUUGAUGCUGUGUAUAUGGUACAUGUCCUGUGAGAGAUGCCCCACAGCUCAGAGAAAUUAACUGCUUUCUUACUAGGAGUUUGGGUAAAACAAAAAAAAAGAUAGUGUUAAAAUGAAGAAAAACACCUUAACUCAGUCUCUUGAGAACAUCACCCAACUGUACUUCUGAUUAUAUGAAGUUAUAGUUUUCGGGCCUGAUCCUAUGAUGUGCUGGGCACCAUCAACUCCUACUGGAGACAUGGAGAAAGGGCUCAACUUCCAGGGAAGUCACUGUGUGUAGAGGGUACUCAGCACCUUGUAGGAGACACUCUGCAUCUUGCAAUAUUAGACUCUUGGAACCCAUCCGAACUAGAGCCCAAAUGCCACCACACAUGCAUGGAUUUAUGAGCUGUAAUUUUUGUACAUGAAGAUGGUGGAGCUGACAAUUCAGGGGGCUGUUAGGCUGCACUGGUGGGAUUCACAUGCUGUGGAUUAUCCUUCUCUUUCAGAGCCUUCACUAUGGAUUUAGAAUAUUGAAGAAUAAUGGAUAUUGUAUUGCUUGCUUGGAUGUGCUUCAGUACAAACUUCCAGCCAUGGUUUUCUAACAAACCAGUCUUCAUAAGCUUGAUCAAGUUUAAGUUGUUUGAAGAUUCAGUUUUCUUUAUCUCUGAAAUAGUCCGCUAAGGGGAAAAAAACAAAUAGAAGACAUUUUCUUUUUUAAUAUUUGCCAUAAUGGAAAUGCUCCACUUUAAAUCAACACUGGAAUGUACUGUAAUUGAAUGAAAGAGAUCAUAAUCUAACUUGCAUCAGUAUUUGUUUGUGAAUACUUAAAAUAUAUGAAUACCUACAUUUACUAUUAGUAACUCCAAAUAUAUCUUCAGUGUGUCAUUUGAAAUAAAAAGAAUAUUUCUUAUUGUAAGAUUGUGACAUUAAGAAAUUCUUGUCUAAACACCCCUCCUUCAGAUCAGCAUGCACUUUACAAACCAAUCGUAUGCAGAAAUCUCCCCUUGAACUACAUAAAGUAGAAUACAUAAAGCUACUUUGUUUUCUCUGGAGGAAAAAAGAUUAAACUGCAUAACAAAAGGCUGUGCAAAAAUAAACCUCUCCAAACCUCUGUCUGACCGAGCAAACACAAGCUCAGUUUACACUGCAAUCACAGGUGUGACUGAGGGGGUACACCUGAGUACGCUAGCUUUAAUCUAGCUAGCUCAGGUACUGUAGCAGCGAAGCUGUGGCAGUGCAGGUUUCAGCACAGACUAGCCCUGGGAGUAAUUAUCCAUGGUUCUGGGUGAGCUUGCACAGCCCAGGCUGAAGCACGCACUGCCUCAGCUUUGUAUGUCUACUCCAGCUGCGAUCAUACCCCUUGAUUGAAGAAUAAACAUACCCUGAGGGUUCGUCUACACUUAAAACACUACAGCGGCACAGCUGGGCCACUGUAGCACUUCAAUGUAGACAUUACCUACGCUGACUGGAGGGAUUCUCCCAUUGGCAUCGGUAAUCCAUACCCUUGAAAGAUCUAGCUAGACUGAUGGAAGAAUUCUUCUGUCAACAUAGCGCUGUGUACAUAGAGACUUAGGAUGGCUUAACUAUGCCACUCAGGAGUGUGGAUUUUUCACAGCCCUUAGUGAUGUAGUUAUGUUGACCUAAUUUUAAACUACUUUUGCUCCACUCCAAGCACAGGAACAGAGUAGCUAAGAAUCAGGCCAAUAAUAUUAACUAUAAUGUUUUCAAGCGGGUUUUCUUAAAUCAAUCCAUAGUAUCCCUAUUAAAAAUUAACUAUAAUUAUAGGAUCGUGAACAGUAAAAGCUUUUCUUUUUAAAAUUUUAUACAGAUACCUUUAUAUGUUUAUUCUGUGGAAAUUGAAGGAGAUUGAUAGCAUGUUUCUGACUAAACAACAUAAGGUCCAUUUUAAUUUUCCUUUUCAUGGGCUUUCAAGAUUUUCUGAAGUCCCAAAUGUUCCAGGCAGUUUGCUGGAAUGAAAUGCUGCCCCCUACUUGUAACAUCUCUCUACAAGUUACAUUCAGACAUACAUGCACAUGAAGUAAUUACCCAGUUUCUCUAUAGCUUCCACACACACACUGGGAUACAUGCCCUCAGAGUAAGUAGCAACCAAGAUGUAUGAAUCUGUUUUCACAGCUAUCAGACCUCUGUUCUCCUAGAUAAAGAAGAAAACUGGUUAAAAGUUGCAGGGUUCUUCUAAAUAUAUAUACUAUUUAUCAGUGUAUACUAGACAAGGAUGUUUUCUAUCUUUAAGCUGUGUGUCACUUUGAGGAAGAAAAGAUACUGUUUUAGAGCCUAAAUCAAGACUGAUAUUGAUAGCAGAUAUAAAUUCAUUUAAGAUGAUGGGUUUUAUAUAUAUUUGUAUAUUUUAAUCAAGCCAAGCAAUAGCUGUUCUGUUUUUUUAUUAUACUGCAUGUUCCCACCUUUAUUCAUAAAUAAUGUUUUUUAUAAAGCACUUUGAAGAGAUAAAGUGCAAUCCGGGUGCUAAGUAUAACCCACAAAAAUGUUAUUAAAAUAUUAAUAAAAUA